AUUGAACGCUGGCGGCAGGCCUAACACAUGCAAGUCGAGCGGAUGAAGGGAGCUUGCUCCUGGAUUCAGCGGCGGACGGGUGAGUAAUGCCUAGGAAUCUGCCUGGUUGUGGGGGAUAACGUCCGGAAACGGGCGCUAAUACCGCAUACGUCCUGAGGGAGAAAGUGGGGGAUCUUCGGACCUCACGCUAUCAGAUGAGCCUAGGUCGGAUUAGCUAGUUGGUGGGGUAAAGGCCUACCAAGGCGACGAUCCGUAACUGGUCUGAGAGGAUGAUCAGUCACACUGGAACUGAGACACGGUCCAGACUCCUACGGGAGGCAGCAGUGGGGAAUAUUGGACAAUGGGCGAAAGCCUGAUCCAGCCAUGCCGCGUGUGUGAAGAAGGUCUUCGGAUUGUAAAGCACUUUAAGUUGGGAGGAAGGGCAGUAAGUUAAUACCUUGCUGUUUUGACGUUACCAACAGAAUAAGCACCGGCUAACUACGUG
rnacentral:rRNA from 1 species